CAGGGAGACCAACCAACUCAGCACAGAGAAAGUAUAUGUGUUGAAGUAUGGACAACCCUGGUCGAGCAAGGAUAAAGGUAUUGUCAAGUUAAACUUUCAAACUAGAGGUUAGGUUUUGUGUAUGGGCUAUUAGCUCAGUUGGUUAGAGCGCACCCCUGAUAAGGGUGAGGUCUCUGGUUCAAGUCCAGAAUGGCCCACCCAACCGAAUAAUAAGGGGGUAUAGCUCAGUUGGUAGAGCACUGCCUUUGCAAGGCAGGAGUCAGCGGUUCGAGUCCGCUUACCUCCAGGAGGGAGGAAAAACAGAAGUCAGCAACAAGACCUGAACCAAUCAAGUCAUGCUGCUGGUCAUCUAUGGAAAUGUCCAGUAAGAACCUUGAAAACUGCAUAGUAGAAAGAAGUUAAAGUAACUGAACCAGAGGUUAGGUUUUACCUAAGAAAAAAAAUCUAGUCAGGUAGAAAGUAAAGUGGUCAAGUUAUCAAGGGCUGACGGU
rnacentral:tRNA from 1 species